AGGGUUUGAUCCUGGCUCAGAGUGAACGCUGGCGGCGUGGAUUAGGCAUGCAAGUCGAGCGAUCUUAUUUAACGAACUGCUUGAAAUUUUGGAAGUCCUUCGGGAUGGAAGGAAUGGAUGGUAGCUAGUUUUUUAGGAUAGCGGCAAAAGGGUGAGUAACGCGUGGGUGAUUUAUCCUGAAAUGAGGGAUAGCUUCGAGAAAUCGAAGGUAAUACCUCGUAUGCCGCAACGUCAAGUUGCGGUGAAAGGUGGCGAAGGUCCGUAAGGAUCUGCUAUUGUUUUAGGAGGAGCCCGCGUCCUAUCAGCUAGUUGGUGGGGUAAUGGCCUACCAAGGCUACGACGGGUAGCUGGCAUUAGUGUGUGGUCAGCCACACCGGGACUGAGACACCGCCCGGACUCCUACGGGAGGCUGCAGUCGAGAAUCUUUCCCAAUGCUCGAAAGAGUGAGGAUGCGACGCCGCGUGGGGGAUGAAGGUCUUCGGAUUGUAAACCCCUUUUGUAGGAGAGGAAAAAACGCUUUCGAAUAGGGAGCGGAACUGACAUUAUUCUACGAAUAAGUCACGGCUAACUCCGUGCCAGCAGCCGCGGUAAUACGGAGGUGGCUAGCGUUACUCGGAAUUACUGGGUGUAAAGGGUUCGUAGGCGGCUAGGUAAGUAAGAGGUGAAAUCCUUUCGCUUAACGAAAGAACUGCCUCUUAUACUGCUUAGCUAGAGGAUAAGAGAGGAAAGCGGAACUGUCGGUGUAAGGGUGAAAUCUGUGGAUAUCGACAGGAACGUCAGUGGCGAAGGCGGCUUUCUGGCUUAUACCUAACGCUGAGGAACGAAAGCUAGGGGAGCAAACAGGAUUAGAUACCCUGGUAGUCCUAGCUGUAAACGAUGGGCACUAGGUGUUUGGGCUUUAUGCUUGAGCGCCGCAGCUAACGCGUUAAGUGCCCCACCUGGGGACUACGGCCGCAAGGCUAAAACUCAAAGGAAUUGACGGGGGCCCGCACAAGCGGUGGAACACGUGGUUUAAUUCGAUGCUACGCGAGGAACCUUACCAGGGCUUGACAUGCUAGGAGUAUUUCGGUGGAAACAUUGAAAGACCGUAUCCAAUCGGCGUCUAGCACAGGUGCUGCAUGGUUGUCGUCAGCUCGUGCCGUGAGGUGUCGCCUUAAGUGGUUUAACGAGCGCAACCCUCGCCUUUUGUUGCUAAUUUUGAUUCACGUCAAAAUGCACUCUAAAGGGACUGCCCACGUUAAGUGGGAGGAAGGUGGGGAUGACGUCAAAUCAGCAUGGCCCUUAUGUCCUGGGCUACACACGUGUUACAAUGGCGUGUACAGAGGGAUGCCAAGCCGCAAGGUGGAGCAAAUCCCAAAAAGCACGUCUCAAUUCGGAUUGAGGGCUGCAAUUUGCCCUCAUGAAGCUGGAAUCGCUAGUAACGGCGUAUCAGCAACGAUGCCGUGAAUACGUUCCCGGGCCUUGUACACACCGCCCGUCAAGCGCCGAAAGUGGGGGGCACUCGAAGCUCCGACGUUAGUCGGAUUCACGGUGAAUUCCAUGAUUGGUGCUAAGUCGUAACAAGGUA
rnacentral:rRNA from 1 species